UACACCACAGCUCACGGCAUCGCCGGAUCCUUAACCCACUGAGCGAUACCGGGGAUCGAACCCACCACCUCGUGGUUCCUAGUCGGAUUCGUGAACCACUGUGCCACGACAGGAACUCCACAAAAUGCAUUUUAACAGGCGUUAAGACAUUGCCCCAACAGCCUUGUCAGCAAAGGCAAAAGAGAUUUCUGUGGACCCAAAAGCAAAUUAACCUCGUGUGGCGAGUCAGGAGACCACCGGAAUGUCUUCUCGGCCUUCUCUCUGUCCCCCCAGUGGGAGCCCCUCAGGGCCUGAAGAGGUUAGAAACUAGGUCUUCACCCCCCUCUCUCUGCAUGACCCCUUCCAGGUCUGCUCUCCCAUUCAAGUUUCUCCCACCCCAGCUGCAGGGGCGCCCCCAUUUCCUUCUCUGCACAAUGAAGGGGUUGGAAUCAAUGGGUGAUUUCCAAACUCUGCUUUGUGGACUAAUGACAUCAGAUACAGCUGAUCCAUAAAUCAGAAGCUCUGAGCACAGUACCCUUCAAAAUGAACUUUUUUUUUUUUUUUGCCAUUUUCUUGGGCCGCUCUCACAGCAUAUGGAGGUUCCCAGGCUAGGGGUUGAAUCAGAGCUGUAGCCACCGGCCUACACCAGAGCCACAGCAACGCUGGAUCCAAGCCGCGUCUGCAACCUACACCACAGCUCACGGCAACACCGGAUCGUUAACCCACUGAGCAAGGGCAAGGAUCGAACCCGCAACCUCAUGGUUCCUAGUCAGUCAGUUUGAGAGGCUCUGAACUACAUGAACUCAGACUUUUCAGAGCAGUCAGCAGAGAUGUUUGAAGAGCUCCAGAAUUAAGAAUCAUUGGUCAACCCAGAUUUCAGUUUCCCAGGCCAACAAGCUUAAGCUGGGUCCCUGACACGCUGAGCAAUUAACCCUAGGAAGACAGAAGAAGCCAAGAGAUGAAGAAAAUCCCCAUGGUUCUGAGGACCUCCAGGCGGCCCUGCAGGAGCCCAGGCUGCGGCUCCUCCUGGCCGGGAGGACGGGGGCGGGGAAGAGCUCCACGGGAAACAGCAUCCUGGGCCGGAAGCACUUUGACUCCAGGCUCAGGGCCACGUCGGUGACCCGAAGCUGUGCCGUGGCGAGCGGCAGGUGGGCGGAGUGGGACGUGGAUGUCCUUGACACCCCGGACCUUUUCAGCUCCGAAGUCGCCCGGACAGACCCCGACUGCAAGGAGAGAGGCCGCUGCUACCUGCUCGCAGCCCCCGGGCCCCACGCCCUGCUCCUGGUGACCCAGCUGGGCCGCUUCACGGCCCAGGACCAGCAGGCCUGGAGGGGGGUGAAGGCGCUGUUCGGGGACGGGGUCUCGGCGCACACGAUCGUGGUCUUCACCCGCAAGGAGGACCUGGCGGAGGGCUCCCUGCAGGACUACGUGCGCGACAGCGAGAACCAGGCGCUCAGGCAGCUGGUGGCCGAGUGCGGGGGCCGCGUCUGCGCCUUUAACAACCGCGCCACGGGUCCCGAGCAGGAGGCGCAGGUGACGGAGCUGCUGAGGCUGGUGGAGGAUCUGGUGAGGGACCGCGGCGGCGCCCCCUACACCAACGACGUGUACCACCUGGCGCAGGCCCUGGGCGGCGUGAGCCCGGAGGAGAGGCUCCGCAAGGUGGCGGAGCGAGUGGCACAGAAGCAGCAGGGGUGCUGCCUGCAGAGGUUCCUGUGUGAGAAGCCGAAGGCUCAGAGGACCUGGUGGGCGCUGGCCCUGGCUGUGCUGGCCAUCGUGAUCCUGAUAGCCCUGUUCUUUUUCAAAGGUCCGUAGUCAGGGUCCUCUUAAGUCUGGUCUAAACACUAAACACUACUCCCACCUGAAGCGGGAUUUCAAAAGCAUCUGUUUUAAAGCUUCUCAUUCACUGUAGUGAACAGCGUUUCAAAUAAUCGCAUGGGGAGUACCUGUUGUGGCUCUUCGAGUUAAGGACCCCGCCAGUUGUCUUCUUGAGGAUGGGUCUUUGCUUCCUGGUCUCCUUCAUGGGGUCAGAAGAGGGCCUUGGCAGCAACGUGCAGGUGAACGUCUCAGAGGCGGCUCACAUCUGGUGUUGCCUAUGGCUGUGGUGUUGGCCUCGGCUGCGGUGUCGCUUCAACCCCUGGUCCGAGAACUUCCUAUGCCACAGGAUGGCGGUAAAAGGAAAGAAAUAGGAGUUUCUGUUGUGGCUCAGCAUAAAGGAAUCUGACUAGCAUUCAUGGACAACGCAAGUUCCAGCCCUGGCCCCGCUCAGUGGGUUAAGGAUCUGGCAUUGCCAUGAACCGUGCUGUGGGUCACAGACCCUGCUCAGAUCCCCCUUUGCUGUGGCUGCGGCAUAGGCUCCUUCUGGCCGGCUCCUCCAAUACAGGCCCUAGCCUGGGAACCUCCAUAUGCCCCAGGUGUGGCCCUUUAAAAAAAAAAAAAAAAAAAAAAAGACAGAAGGGAAA